rnacentral:rRNA from 1 species
UACGAGGGGGGCGAGCGUUGUUCGGAAUUAUUGGGCGUAAAGGGUGCGUAGGCGGUUUGGUAAGUCUUAUGUGAAAUCUACAGGCUCAACUUGUAGUCUGCAUGAGAAACUGCCGGGCUUGAGUAUGGGAGAGGUGAGUGGAACUCCUGGUGUAGCGGUGAAAUGCGUAGAUAUCAGGAGGAACACCUGUGGCGAAAGCGGCUCACUGGACCAUAACUGACGCUGAUGCACGAAAGCUAGGGGAGCAAACAGG